rnacentral:rRNA from 4 species
CGAACGGUAACAGGAAGCAGCUUGCUGCUUUGCUGACGAGUGGCGGACGGGUGAGUAAUGUCUGGGAAACUGCCUGAUGGAGGGGGAUAACUACUGGAAACGGUGGCUAAUACCGCAUAACGUCGCAAGACCAAAGAGGGGGACCUUCGGGCCUCUUGCCAUCAGAUGUGCCCAGAUGGGAUUAGCUUGUUGGUGAGGUAACGGCUCACCAAGGCGACGAUCCCUAGCUGGUCUGAGAGGAUGACCAGCCACACUGGAACUGAGACACGGUCCAGACUCCUACGGGAGGCAGCAGUGGGGAAUAUUGCACAAUGGGCGCAAGCCUGAUGCAGCCAUGCCGCGUGUAUGAAGAAGGCCUUCGGGUUGUAAAGUACUUUCAGCGGGGAGGAAGGUGUUGUGGUUAAUAACCGCAGCAAUUGACGUUACCCGCAGAAGAAGCACCGGCUAACUCCGUGCCAGCAGCCGCGGUAAUACGGAGGGUGCAAGCGUUAAUCGGAAUUACUGGGCGUAAAGCGCACGCAGGCGGUCUGUCAAGUCGGAUGUGAAAUCCCCGGGCUCAACCUGGGAACUGCAUUCGAAACUGGCAGGCUUGAGUCUUGUAGAGGGGGGUAGAAUUCCAGGUGUAGCGGUGAAAUGCGUAGAGAUCUGGAGGAAUACCGGUGGCGAAGGCGGCCCCCUGGACAAAGACUGACGCUCAGGUGCGAAAGCGUGGGGAGCAAACAGGAUUAGAUACCCUGGUAGUCCACGCCGUAAACGAUGUCUACUUGGAGGUUGUGCCCUUGAGGCGUGGCUUCCGGAGCUAACGCGUUAAGUAGACCGCCUGGGGAGUACGGCCGCAAGGUUAAAACUCAAAUGAAUUGACGGGGGCCCGCACAAGCGGUGGAGCAUGUGGUUUAAUUCGAUGCAACGCGAAGAACCUUACCUGGUCUUGACAUCCACAGAAGAAUCCAGAGAUGGAUUUGUGCCUUCGGGAACUGUGAGACAGGUGCUGCAUGGCUGUCGUCAGCUCGUGUUGUGAAAUGUUGGGUUAAGUCCCGCAACGAGCGCAACCCUUAUCCUUUGUUGCCAGCGGUUAGGCCGGGAACUCAAAGGAGACUGCCAGUGAUAAACUGGAGGAAGGUGGGGAUGACGUCAAGUCAUCAUGGCCCUUACGACCAGGGCUACACACGUGCUACAAUGGCGCAUACAAAGAGAAGCGACCUCGCGAGAGCAAGCGGACCUCAUAAAGUGCGUCGUAGUCCGGAUUGGAGUCUGCAACUCGACUCCAUGAAGUCGGAAUCGCUAGUAAUCGUGGAUCAGAAUGCCACGGUGAAUACGUUCCCGGGCCUUGUACACACCGCCCGUCACACCAUGGGAGUGGGUUGCAAAAGAAGUAGGUAGCUUAACCUUCGGGAGGGCGCUUACCACUUUGUGAUUCAUGACUGGGGUGAAGUCGUAACAAGGUAACCGUAGGGGAACCUGCGGUUGGA